rnacentral:rRNA from 1 species
AUGGACGACGGCUCGUCAUGCCCGACCGACAGCGCCGGGCUUCUGCCGCUCUUCGUUGGCUCCCCGACGGCUGAGGGUCUCGAAGAGAAGCUGAUGCGAGUGCGCGAGGAGAACCGGCGGCUGGCCGGAACGCUCGGCGCCAUACUCGCCGGUCGCCCUGACCUGCGUGCUCUGGCGAGGGCUCCAGCCUCAGCCGUCGCCACCGCUAGGGCGCCGAGCGGCUCUGCCUCCAAUGCAGUGAGGGAGGAGGCCGCCGGAGUGACGGUGGAGCCGCGGCCCAAGGUCAGGACGGUCUGCGCGCGCGCGGAGCCUGCCGACACCGACGCCAACCUUGGCGUCAAGGACGGGUACCAGUGGAGGAAGUACGGGCAGAAGGUGACGCGCGACAACCCGCACCCCAGAUCCUACUUCCGCUGCGCAUUUGCUCCAUCUUGCCCAGUGAAGAAGAAGGUGCAGAGAGACGCGGAGGACAGGUCAAAGCUGGUGGCGACCUACGAGGGUGAGCACAACCACGCUAAAUACCCGGAGCGAGAAUUCGUCGGCAGCGAGUCCACAGGCCACGCGGGGUCGCGGCCUUGCUCGAUCUCCAUUAACCCGUCCGGCCGGACGAUCAGGCUAGAAGAUAUGACGAAUCAUGGGUCAGGAUCGAGGCUGGACCUGGAGACUAUCCGGAGGGAGGUUGUUACGCCUGAAUUUCAGAAGCUUCUGGUGGAGAAGAUGGUGAAUUCGCUCAAGAAUGAUGCAGAUUUCAUGCAUGCUCUAACAAAUGCGGUGGCUGAAAGAAUACUGGAAAAUAUUCCUGCCCGGCUAAGUCGGUGCGAGCUAACAAUGUUGCAACAGCUAUGUCGGUGCGAGCGAGGACUUGCCAGAACCUCGCCUGAGGUAGAGGCGACGCGGUUUUGCCGGCGUAGGAGAGACGGGGAGGAAAUCAAGUGUGCGCUUGACGAAGAAAGUGAACAGUGGUUGGCCGGCGAGGAAAGAGGAAAGAUAGCCAUUGGAUUGGAAUCUAACAUAUCACGCAAAUCAACUGAAAGACGAAUCAUUUUUAGGCAACUGACUUAG